rnacentral:rRNA from 1 species
UACGUAGGGGGCAAGCGUUGUCCGGAAUCAUUGGGCGUAAAGCGCGUGUAGGCGGCCUGGAAAGUCUGGUGUGAAAUCCUGCGGCUCAACCGCAGACUGUCACUGGAUACUGUCAGGCUUGAGUCCGGAAGAGGAGUGUGGAAUUCCUGGUGUAGCGGUGGAAUGCGCAGAUAUCAGGAGGAACACCAAUGGCGAAGGCAGCACUCUGGUACGUGACUGACGCUGAGACGCGAAAGCGUGGGGAGCGAACAGG